rnacentral:ncRNA from 1 species
GAUAGAGGCGCGGCGGUCAAGAGUAUCUCUCCCACAGAUCAGGCGCAGGGGAGAAGGAAAGGGGCUGCUGCCGAGGUCUCGUUUCUCUGCCUGAGAGCGUCGAGGCCGGGCCGCGGGAGAAGAUCCCCCGGACUGUCGUCCUGUCAGGGACGGAGCGCUGUCGU